GCCAAUUUUAGCUACUGCGUAGUUACUCUUUGAAGUUUUCUCUAGAAUGAUGACGCGGUUACGCGAGUGGGCGAUUGAAAACCAUAAGUGCGUGUCUGGUUUUCGUGAUAUUUAUGUGCAAAAAUAAUGUGUUUUCAUAAGUAGAUGAAGGAAACGGAUAUUAUCUUACCAAGAUAGAUUUAUGCACCGUCGAUAGGAAAAAGCUACUUGGCCAAAAUUGCAUCUUCAUCGACUUUGGUUACUUUACAAUGGUCAAUCUACCUGUUUAUACAUUUGUAAUAUAUAAUUCGAAGAUCGGAUGCUUUGCUACUAUCCUGAUUCCUGUUUGACUUUCUCGUGGAAGAAAAAGGGGAGGAAAAAAAUUGGAAAUAACGCUAGGAAACAGCAGAUUGCUCGGUACUGAUUUAAAGAUAAAUGCGAGCAACAGGAACCCAUGAAAACGUUGAGAUGAACCAACGCCGAAAUUCUAUGGUAAAGGGCCUCGAAGAAGGUAGUAGCCCUUUUAUGGGUGUCCUUGAUCUGUUACUCCCUAAAGGGCAUACGCCUACGCACUUUUACUAGGAAAUCAUGAAGAAAGGAUUGGUUCCACUGUUGAACGAGCCCUUCAAGAUUCUUCUCCCAAAGAAACUUCGAAUUCACAUGUGUUAUUUAUAGAUAAUCAAUAGAAUUAAUAGAAAUUGUUUAUUGCAAAUCGAAUUGAGAUUACCUAUUAUAGAAAUAAUCUAUAAGUCCAAACUAAAAAA
rnacentral:lncRNA from 1 species